UAACCUUAACGACCCUCCCUGACUGCAAACUCCUGCAGGAAGAGGCCAGUUGAACCACUGCAAUCAGAAAGGAUAGAUUGUAACACAAAUGUUCAUCUGAAAAUUUACAUAAAUUAUUUGCAUGCGGCUGUAAUUGGACAUCAGGCACUUGAUGAAUUAAUCACUGUGACUUGAUGGGCCAAUGCCGUGGCUGUGAGAGAGGAUCCAGUGACCAGUCAGCGGAAGAUAUACAGUACCUGUCAGUGAACGAGGGAGCAGAGGGAGGCUGAGGAGAAGACACAGCCAUUCAAAAGAGAAGGACCCAGAGAACCCAGCCUCUGUGUGACUCUGUGUUUGUCUGCUGUACAGGCGAGAGCCGGGACGAAAGUAUCACGGACACGGACCUUUUCUGUUGUAACACAGAAGUCAGGGACAUGUCGUUGUGAAGUCCAUGUGAGGAAAUGCCCAGGGUUAGUGUGAGGAAGACCAACGAGUCCAGAUGUGACCUGAAAACAAAACAACAAACACACAAAAAACAGUGAAUAAAUGUUUGUUCAUCAUCCAU